ACUAAACAAAAGUUACAAAGUGAACUUGCAGUGCUUUCCUUAAGGGAGAUGUAGUUACAAUUCCAGCGCACUGGCCCACACUCUCUCUCUCUCUUGGUGGUGUGAGACUUUCUACAACAGAAUGUCUAAAUGCCAUGAACGUCCCAUCACUGAACCAGGAGCCAUUAUCAAGAGGACUCUACGGGAAGCCUCCUUCCAAUGAAUAUUUGGAAUGAUGUUUUCAUUUAUUAGGUUGAAGCAGUUGGUGUGCUUUAGAAAAUGAUUAUAGAGCAUUGGGUCUGGCAGCUCUGUAGAAAAACAUGGAAGCAGCUGAAAGUGUUCCUCCCUCUGCUUGUAUGCUUCUGGAAGCCAUCAGAGGCCAUCCGUCAAACCAACCUGGCCUGUCUUCUGUGCUGUCACACAGGGCUGGAGCAUGUGGGCAGAAUUAAUGUGCCAGGUGAGAGGAAAAUAAGUACUGGUAUACAAAGACAAAAGGACUUCCAUCCUGUUUAUUCCAUUAAGUCUUGACAUUUAUUUUUUUAGACAUAUGCCAUG
ensembl:antisense Rbm46os RNA binding motif protein 46, opposite strand